ACGCUGGCGGCAGGCUUAACACAUGCAAGUCGAACGCUCGUAGCAAUACGGGAGUGGCAGACGGGUGAGUAACGCGUGGGAACAUACCCUCCGGUUCGGAAUAGCUCAGGGAAACUUGGAUUAAUACCGGAUACGGCUGAGAGGCGAAAGAUUUAUCGCCGGAGGAUUGGCCCGCGUUCGAUUAGCUAGUUGGUGAGGUAAUGGCUCACCAAGGCGAUGAUCGAUAGCUGGUCUGAGAGGAUGAUCAGCCACAUUGGGACCGAGACACGGCCCAAACUCCUACGGGAGGCAGCAGUGGGGAAUAUUGGACAAUGGGCGCAAGCCUGAUCCAGCCAUGCCGCGUGAGUGAUGACGGCCUUAGGGUUGUAAAGCUCUUUCGCUCGGGACGAUAAUGACGGUACCGAGAUAAGAAGCCCCGGCUAACUUCGUGCCAGCAGCCGCGGUAAUACGAAGGGGGCUAGCGUUGUUCGGAAUUACUGGGCGUAAAGCGCGUGUAGGCGGGUCUUUAAGUCAGGGGUGAAAUGCCAAGGCUCAACCUUGGAACUGCCUUUGAUACUGGA
rnacentral:rRNA from 1 species